GGGGGCGUAGCUCAGUUGGGAGAGCGCCUGCUUUGCAAGCAGGGGGUCGUCGGUUCGAACCCGAUCGCCUCCA
rfam:Roseomonas mucosa strain SAVE376 contig00141, whole genome shotgun sequence.